rnacentral:rRNA from 1 species
UAGGAAUCUCCACAAUGGACGAAGUCUGAUGGAGCAACGCCGCGUGAGUGAUGAAGGGUUUCGGCUCGUAAAACUCUGUUGUUGGAGAAGAACGGGUGUCAGAGUAACUGUUGACAUCGUGACGGUAUCCAACCAGAAAGCCACGGCUAACUACGUGCCAGCAGCCGCGGUAAUACGUAGGUGGCAAGCGUUGUCCGGAUUUAUUGGGCGUAAAGCGAGCGCAGGCGGUUUUUUAGGUCUGAUGUGAAAGCCUUCGGCUUAACCGGAGAAGUGCAUCGGAAACCGGGAGACUUGAGUGCAGAAGAGGACAGUGGAACUCCAUGUGUAGCGGUGAAAUGCGUAGAUAUAUGGAAGAACACCAGUGGCGAAGGCGGCUGUCUGGUCUGCAAACUGACGCUGAGGCUCGAAAGCAUGGUAGCGAACAGGAUUAGAUACCCUUGGUAGUCCAUGCCGUAAACGAUGAGUGCUAAGUGUUGGAGGGUUUCCGCCCUUCAGUGCUGCAGCUAACGCAUUAAGCACUCCGCCUGGGAGU